rnacentral:rRNA from 1 species
ACUCAAAGGAAUUGACGGGGGCCCGCACAAGCGGUGGAGCAUGUGGUUUAAUUCGACGCAACGCGAAGAACCUUACCAGGCCUUGACAUGCCUGCGGCGCCCCGAGAGAUCGGGGGUCCUUUUCGGAGGCGCAGGCACAGGUGGUGCAUGGUUGUCGUCAGCUCGUGUCGUGAGAUGUUGGGUUAAGUCCCGCAACGAGCGCAACCCUUGUUGUUAGUUGCCAUUAUUAAGUUGGGCACUCUAAUGAGACUGCCGGUGACAAACCGGAGGAAGGUGGGGACGACGUCAAAUCAUCAUGCCCUUUAUGGCCUGGGCUACACACGUGCUACAAUGGCCUGUACAGAGGGAUGCCAAGGGGCGACCCGGAGCAAAUCCCAAAAAGCAGGUCCCAGUUCGGAUUGCAGGCUGCAACUCGCCUGCAUGAAGUCGGAAUCGCUAGUAAUCGCAGAUCAGAAUGCUGCGGUGAAUACGUUCCCGGGCCUUGUACACACCGCCCGU